rnacentral:rRNA from 1 species
CUUCAUCGGUAUGGGAUGGGUUUCGCGUCCUAUCAGCUUGAUGGCGGGGUAACGGCCCACCAUGGCUUCGACGGGUAGCCGGCCUGAGAGGGCGACCGGCCACAUUGGGACUGAGAUACGGCCCAGACUCCUACGGGAGGCAGCAGUGGGGAAUAUUGCACAAUGGGCGCAAGCCUGAUGCAGCGACGCCGCGUGCGGGGAUGACGGCCUU